ACGGCAAUGGAGUAACUCAAAACCGGAGACUCAGUCAGAUUUAUCAUCAAAGGUACAUUGUAUUCCCGCUCAAACAUUUCAAAUCACUGAAUCUGAUAGAUAAAUUACACAAAUGAAUCUUCGUUUUGUGAGAAAUUAUCGUUGCACCAUAUCACAACUUGAGAGUUUUGUGAGAGACGAGUGUAAAUCUGGUAAAAUUAAGAAGCUUGAUGAUGGUUUGAGAUACUUCGAUCAAUUGAUUUCAGAAAAGCCUUUGCCGUCUAAUCAUACAUUUAAUCAUGUAUUUGGUUCACUAUCCAAAAUCAAAUGCUAUUCAGAUGUCAUUUUGUUGUACAAGAAAAUGAAUUUGGUUGGGGUACAACCCAGUAUAUAUACAUUGAGCAUUUUGAUUAAUUGCUGUUGUCAAUUAGGCAAAGUUGAUCAUGGGUUUUGUUUGUUUGGGGAGGUGUUAAAGAGGGGUUAUCAUCCUGAUACUGCCACUUUUAAUACACUGAUUAAAGGGUUGUGUCUUCAACAAAAGAUUGAUUUUGCAUUCAAAGUGUUUGAUAAAAUGGCUGAGAUGGGUGUUCAACCUGAUGCUAUUACAUGUAAUACUCUUAUAUCCGGGCUUUCUAAAACUGGAAAAGUUGAUCAUGCUCUUGAGGUGAAAAACAAGAUGGUUGAAUGGAAAUGCAGCCCUACGGUUGUUACAUAUUGUGCGACUAUAGAAACACUUUGUAAAGGAGGAUUAGUUGAUGAAGCUUUGGUUCUAUUCUCUGAAAUGCUUAAAGAUCUGAAUGUUGCACCCGAUGUAGUUGUUUACACUUCUUUGAUUAACGGGCUUUUCGAUUCAGGACGGUUGGACGAGGCAAGGAGAAUCUUUGACGAGAUGGUUAGUAGAGGAAUCUCUGCGGAUGUAACAACUUAUAGCUGUAUGAUUCAUGGUCAUUGCAUACAUGGUCAAUGGGAAGAAGCAAGAAGAUAUUUUAAUGAAAUGUUGGAUCAAGGGAUUUUACCCACUACAAUAACCUUUACUAUAUUGAUAGAUUCACUUUGUAAAUAUGGUAACAUAGAUGAUGCUGUGGGGGUAUUUAGAUACAUGGAGAAGCUAAAUAUAAAACCUGAUCGGAUUACUUAUAAUUCAAUGAUCAACGGUCUAUGUUUGGCAGGUCGGUUGCAAGAUGCGGCGGAACUAUUUGACUCGAUGGUGGAUAGGGGCCUUGAACCGAAUGCUGUCAGUUGCACUACAUUAAUUGAUGGGUAUUGCAGGAAUUGUAAGCUGGAUGAAGCUAUGUUGUUAUUCAAUAAAAUGAAACAAAACGGGUUGAAACCUACAACACUUACUUACAGUAUACUCUUAGCUGGGCUAUACCGAGGUGGUAGAAUAAAGGUCGCAGAAGGUAUCUUCAAUGAGAUACAAUCAUUUGGUCAAUAUCCAAAUAAAAUUACAUUUGGUACAGUUUUAGAUAGAAUCUGCAAGAAUGGAAAAAUUGAGGAGGUAGUAGAAUUGUUUGGAUCGAUGGAUGCUUCCUUUAUCUCAGUUACAUCCCCUUGAUCCAGUUUUACGCCAGCCCUGGCCGAACUCCUUUACGUAAGUUUUGGUUUCAUGAUUGCAUCUGACAUGUGGAUUGUUGAGGUUUGUGGGAUCUUAUGUUUUUAAGAUUGUCAGUGAACAACUGAUUUUCUAAUUGAACAAGUGUUGCUCAGGCAAUAGUUACUGUCUUAGAUUGGUUUUUACUUAAAUUUUAGAGUAUCUAGUAGCUGCCACUGCUUUCCUAAGGGGUUACUCAAUGUUUCUGCCCAAAACCUGUCGAAGAAGAUACAAGAAGAAUGGACUGCUACACUAAGUCAUAACUUCUAAGUCAGCCGAGUAAGUUGAGUAUAAAGAAUGACAAAUCUGAUGCUUGGAAGCUGGACCUGCAUAGUUUGGCAUGUACCUGCACUUUAUCUGACAGAUUGGUGUUUGAUGCCCUACCUUGAAUGCACCGUUGUUUGUGGCUAUCAAAUAUUCUUUGGCACAAAGAAGAGUACAUCCAUGGAUAAACACCCAAUCAGUACCCAAUUGAGUGGAAAGUCUCGUUUACCAAGAUGUUUUCACUUUCUUCUUUCUAUGUUCAAGGUGGUCUAGCUGCUCUCACUAACGGCUGUGCUAAAGGCUGGAGGUGGAUUUCAGGGAUUUUUGAUUCGAGUCCAGCAUAUUUUUUACCUGAUCCUUAAGUCAGCUAGAGGAAGAAGUCGUAUGAUCAAGGAUUUAUGGCUAAUUGCUAAUCUAGCAAGCAGCGAACUAUUGAAACUGAGAAAUAAAGUGCAUUGCGACAAUGAAAAGGUCAGAUGGUUCCAAUUUAAGAUCAAAAUUUUCAGGAAUGUGCUCAAGGUUAACAUGGUUUUAUGCACAACACCUGUGAAGUCCUCAGGAUCACAGAGGGUUAAAAUGGUAGCGUCAGCUGAAUUUAGCUGGAGACCUCGAGACCCUAAUGAAGUCUUAUUAUGUUUCGUUGGGGCAUCAGUUGGCAAUCCUGGCAGAUUGCAGCGUCAUUGGGGCUCAGAAUAUUGGGCUUGGCAUCACACCAAGUUUUUCUGCAGAGACAUACGCAGUGAUUGCAUUGCUUGAAUGACCAAUGGGCAUGGCAAUGGAGUCACAAAAAGGCCUUGGUUGGACGAGAUAAGGCUAGUACAGUGAAGGCUUUUGAUGGUAAUUCGAUUCCUUGGAGAUUCAGGCAAAGAUGGUUAGCUGUGGGGAGUCAUUACGACUCUAUUCAUUAUGAGCAUGCUUUCAGGGAAAUGAACUUUGUGGCAGAUGUGGGAAGGUCUUAAACUUUAUGAGUUUUAGAAAGGCCGGAUAUGGAAUAUUACGUUUUUAAGUAAUUUAGUUCCAUGGCUUAUGUUUGAGAC